ACGGCGCCGUGUCCGGGUGCGCUGAUGCAAUGCCGGUGUACACCUCGCGGCUCCCACACUUCCUUAAAGCGGCUGGCUCCUGCCCGGGCACCGCUCACGGUUCUUCCCCGGCGGUGCCCCGCUGCCUUCCCCCGCGGACUCCCGCGGAGGCCAGGCUAUACCGGGGCCCGGCUCACUGCGCUCCCCGGCCCUCUCCUAACGGCGUUCGGGCCGCUCCUCUCGCACCACGCUGGAGCACAGGCGGGGCCCGGAAGCGGCUGCCGGGUGCCGCGGGUCGGCUGCGGGCGCCCGGGCCGGGCCGGGCCCCCUCCGGGUUCCCCGUCCGCUCUCCGCAGCGCCGCCCGCCGGCACCUGGGCGGCAGCGCCCGCCGCGGGAGGGCUGUCUCUCAAAAUCCGAACAAACGGCGAUUUAUUAUUUUUUAGUUCCUUUCUUUUCUCUCGGCUCUAACAGGUGAGGCCCCGGCGGCAGCCAGUAGCGUGGGGCCCCAGGGGGGGGGACGCGAGGAGUGCGCUGCCCUCGGCCCGGCGCGCCCUGCGCCCGUGCCAUAUGCCGGGGGGAGCGGGGCGGCAACGCGGCGGUCCCCUGCUCCGAGCCAGGAGUUCUCUGGGAAACCGUGUGAGUCACCGCGCUGAACUGUAACACUCCAGACACCCAAUAAAUGCGGACAGAGACUUGAAUGCGGAUCCACAGAGGUCAGCCUCCACCUGACAAACACCAGGCAUCAUUCAGCACACAGGUAGCGACUUGAUACAUUCCUGACUUAGAAAUAAAUACGUUGCCUACCCCCGAAAACCCUCACAAAUCACGGCCCAGUUAAAGGAGAAAGAAACACAAAUAACGAAAUGAAAAGCUACAUAUAAGCUACUGUCUGACGGCCACAGAAAUCAGAUAACUGCAGUAAUACAGCAUGGAAGAAACAUUAUCAGAGGAGAUGGGACUACACACAGAUUAUCAAAUAUCCUUCAGUGGCACCUACUUUGUAGAGUCUCACCCAGAUACAAAAAUUAUAUUUUAGAACAUACACAGACUCCUGCAACACACAUAUAAGGAAGAAAGAAACCAAAGACUGCAUAGUUAAUCUACAUAAGCCAGUAUCAGAAACAAACCUUGGGAGGAGACACACUGUUUGUAUAAAUCCUAGAGCUGAGAGAGUGACUUCAGGGACCACUGUCUGUCCAUCUUUUCCAAUAUUAUCUGCUGAUUGAAGAAAAAGUAUUUUCACUCCCCAUGAAUCCUCAAAACCUGCAGUGAGUUCUCUGGGAGAACAUCUGUUUCCCUGAUGUAAGCCAAAUAUUGCUGUACUGGUCAAUUAAUGCAGAGCUGAUCAGCUCCUUGGGAUAUUCAUGUCAACAGAAACACACCAGUUGUUCUGUGAACUGACCUUCCUAUGUAGAAGAUUGAACUGGCAACUUGGAUUUAACGCCAUGUUUUUAAUUUUUCCCCCCAUUUUCCUUACCUAAUAAAUAAAUAAAAUUUUUUCCUCCUUCUCUGUCUCUACAGCAGUUUUACAGAAAAGUAUGAUAGAGACCAGUAUUCACUAUAAAUAGCAGCCUUGACUGGCUUCAGCUCUGAAGAAUCAAAUGUAUAAAAUCAAGGCUGGCUUACUUAAAGUCCUCCCCAGGGAGCAGUUCUGCAGUGUUACUCAGCUUGCACUUCCUAGAACACAAAUUAAUUCCAUCUGUAUUAACUGCACAUUUCUUGAGCUGUAUUAACAAGGACACCCAGAAACUGUGGGAUGUGUGGCAGUGUGUGACAUACAGUCACACAUACAUACAGAAAUACUUUGGCCAUUUACUCUAUCGUGGGACAUGCAUGAUAUCUGCCCUGGAAAAGGAUGCCCAGAGGCCCUACAUAACAAUGACCCAUAGUGGUACAUUGUACAUUGAAAGUGAGACUGCGAGUAACAACUGGAAACAGCCUGAAAUCAUAAGCAAGACUUGUAAAAGAGGACAGUCAACUCGCAUCUAUGGGAAAGCAGAGGGCAAUCUGGAUUCAGAAGCAUUUUGGGACUCCUCAGGGGCAGCAGUUGCUCAGCAGUUUGGAGAGUGGCUGGCUCUCACAGUAGCUGGUCUGAGCUUUGGCUGCUGCUUCAGGUGUUUCAGGGGUGAAUCUCCCUGCUGAGCAGAUUUAAAGGAAUGGCAACAGGAAGGUCACUUUGCUCACCACAUGCGUUCUCUUCUGCCUCCACUCGGGCUCUGUUCUCUGUGCAACUACUGGUGAGACAAGGAGAGCCAGGUUGGGCAGAUGCAAUUCAUUCCUCCUCCACCCUUCCCCAGGCAACAAGGCAGGUGUCUGAAUACUCCUGAAAUUCAUGUGGUUUCAGGGCUCCUACUUUUUGGGUGGUGACUUAAGGUGGGAUGCUUGGGAGGGAAUCCAGCACUGCUUUCCUUCAUUUCCUCCAAAGAGAAAUUUAGUCUUUCAGCCCAACAGUUUCAUUGCUAGAACAGGUGGCAUUCCUAUUACCUGUUGAAUGUACAAUCCUUUGCCCUUUUUCAGGUUUGAGACCAAGGAAUAUUCCACUCAUUACUCACUCUGUGUUCUUUUUUAACCUUACUCUUAGAUACAACUGAAACUUCAGCCUCUGUAGGUCUCCCUUCUUACCUCUUGCAGGACAUGUCCUUUUGCUGAAGAAAGUGAGCAGAUGUGAAGAUUUUUCUUGUGAUUUAAUGGGAUUUCCAUGUUCCCCAAUGCUCACACUCCAGCUGUGAAACCUAUGAGAUCUACAAACACACAGACACGUGUCUUUCUAUAUAUCCACAGUCAAGCUGUUGUCCUAAGAGAAAAGAGGAGUUGGACAGGAAGAGGGGACGGGAAAAUGUGCUGUUUUCUAGUAUUAACUGAAAGACAGUGGGAACAGAGAUAAUAUGAUCAAAUUUAAAAAAAGAAGCAAGUAAAGGGCUGAACCCAACAAAGACUUUGGCAGGUGUUUUGCUGUAAUUUCUCUGUUUAUUGCUUACAGCCUUUUUUAAAGCCAGGAUUGCCUCUGACCUUGUGCCUAUAAUAAAGGCUGUGUGUGAUGGGCUGCUAGAAGUAACUCAUGUAAUUUCUUUUGGGCUCUAUAAUAACAUGGCACAUAACUGAAAAUAUUACAGUAUCAUCAUACCAAAAAAUAAACCUAGGAUUCACAAUCACUCAAGAUUACCUGAUUUUAUCAUUUCAAAUAUAGUUGAAAAUGAAAA